rnacentral:rRNA from 1 species
UACGGAGGAUCCAAGCGUUAUCCGGAUUUAUUGGGCUUAAAGGGUGCGUAGGCGGAUUAGUAAGUCAGUGGUGAAAGCCUGCAGCUUAACUGUAGAAUUGCCAUUGAUACUGCUAGUCUUGAAUAUAGUUGAGGUAGGCGGAAUAUGACAUGUAGCGGUGAAAUGCUUAGAUAUGUCAUAGAACACCGAUUGCGAAGGCAGCUUGCUAAACUAUUAUUGACGCUGAGGCACGAAAGCGUGGGGAGCAAACAGG